CACGAGAGAAACCAACGAUCAACGAUCUCCGUACCCAGAACUCUGAUCGACAAUGGCCGCCACUGCAUCCUUGGACUCCUUCGGAAGCUUGAUACUGUUCUUCAGCUUCUCUCUCUUGCUCGCCACCGACGGCGACUCCUCUAGCAUCCUCUGAAGACCUCCGCCAGCUCUUGGAUCCACCAUCUCCGCCACAAUCUCCUUCUGAAACUAAUAAUUCACGAGAUUCUUCACUGACAGCUGAAGAUACAGAGCAAGACUGUCCACAAUCCUUCGUAAGACUAUCGUCCAGUAAGAUGCUAUCCUCAUCUUCAUAUCGAAGGCUUGCUGCAGGAGAUGAGCAUGAUACUUCCGUAGGUGAGAGAUCUUCACAAUUCCACCAAAUCCAGUCAACGAGAAGUGCUCAGGCUUUUUCCCAUCGGACAACACAGCAUAAAUGAAGUUUUGUUGUUCAGCAGUCAUCUGAGUCCAAGACGUCAUGUACUCAGGGUUACAUGUGUAAUCAGUCAGCUUCUCCAUUUCAACAAUCUCCAACACUCGCUCCACAGAGUGUUCCUUGAUCUUGGUGAUUAGAUUUCGACCAGCACGUUUGAUGGCAGAUUGGAUCUGUGGGAAGUUUUCAGAAUACUUGGCAAUGACGGAUGAGAGAACAACUUCAAUGUAGUCCCAUAUCUUCUUGAUGAACUCCACGGGCUUGACAUGUAUGGCAUCUUCGUGUUGUGAUAGUAUAGCCAAGAAGGCUGACCUGGGGAUGAAAUUGGGCAGUCCAACACACUUGCAUUCGUCAAGGAUCUUGAUCUCAUUCAUCAAGAACUCGGUCACUUCCUUUGGCUUCUCUUGCAGAUUAUCGGAGAAUUGGCUUAACAUGUCAGCCAAACGAGCAGUACAGUGCAUGUUCUGGUCAUCCGGGAAUUCAGAGAAGUCUCCUUGGACAAGGAUUCUGAAGAGGGACUCCUUGGCAGAACCAAUGAUGUCCAUCAAUGCCAUCAAUGCUUCUCCGGUAGAAGCCAUAACCAUCGGUAGCUUGUUCAACUCCAGGACAGCAGUUUCCAUCUUGUGAUUGAUCUUGCGAACGAUUUCAGGCAAACAGCGGGAAAUCAUCGUUGCUUGGAUAAGCAUUAGCUUCUGAGCUAUAACAGGGAUUCCCACGAUGUCUUCAUCAAUCAAGCUCAGCAUCGGGUGAGUCCUGAAGAGCAACUCUUCUUGCAUUCUAGCUUGUUCAUACGCUCUUCUCCAAUGCGGUUUCUGACACAGACGUAACCUAGACCAAUACUCACAUCAUCCGCAGUUACUUUCUGUAGGAGACCUUCGGGAGCCAUGUCUGCCUUGGUGACAACGGCCAGAGUCCGUUCACAUACGGAUGGAUUCACAGGUGGUGAAGUCGACUGUAGCUGACAGAACAUUGAGGAUUAUUGAUUCUUGUGGCUCGAUGUACUUCAUGAUCAUCCCAGAAAUCUGUUCGUAAAUAUUCUCCGGUUGUCCAUUCACUGGCCUCGAGUUAUACCGGGAAGAUCGACCAUGGUAAGAUAUGGGACCCCAGCCUUCUUAACAUGGAGGGUCAAUGGAGCGUCUGAGACCCCUUUGCCAGAUCCUGCAGUAUAGGUAGUCAAAAGUUCAAAACUGGUUAGCAUCACACACAACACUUUUAGUUCCUUCAAAUAGCAAAACUAGUAGUAUAAAGAGCACUAAAGUUAUCAGACUACACUAGGUUUUCCAUAAUCAUAUUUCAAAUCUAGGUACUUGUAUUCAGGUUCAUGUAGACAUCUUAUUUUAGGGACAUCAAUGGUAGUAAGUAACACUAUGAAGUUUCAACAGUAAGUAACGUGAACAGCUAAAGUAUAAUUAACAGCAUGAAAAAAAACCAGACCAUUAAGAUCCAACUAGGAGUUUCAGAGUAUAUAAAACACAUCACUAGGCACUGUCAUUUAGGUAUAUGUACACAUCUAACUCCAAGGAAUUCUAUGGUAAGUAAACCAACUUCGUUCAAAUAUUCAUGUUUUAGAUUAAAGGUCGCACUCUCAGUAAUCUCUCUUGCAGCUAAACACACUUAAUACCAAGAUAGAGAGUGAACUUACCAGCAAUCACAUCUGUUGCAGCACAGAUAGCUUCAGCGAUGUGCUCCUCAUCCGUGGGAACAAUCUUGUCACUGUACUCAAGCCAUAUCUCAGGUACAGGGCUAGAGCUUCGCUGAAGUCGCAUGACAAGAGGAACCCUAGUGCAGAUUCCUUGGCCACGAGGUAGACUGAUUCCUGCCAACGAGUCGAGGACACUUGACUUCCCCGAGGACUGGUCUCCAACCACGACAAUGGUGGGAAGCUGAAUGCCUUCUCUCAUCACAUUGAGGUUCCUUAGACGGUCAACCGUGUCAAGCAACGGCCUAAUCCUAUCGUUAUAUGAAGAUAUAAUCGGUGCUUCGAUGGGAACAACUUCUCUGUUGUCAUGAGGAUUCGCCUGGACAAUUGCAAGAGAAGGAGAAGAGGUUCUAGUGACAACAUGCUUCUUACUACCUCCCAUUUGUGUUCUUUUAGAGAUAAGACAAGAGUAGAAGAUAUAAAAGACAGAAAAGAGAAGUUCUAUGGGUAAGUGAGAUUCUUCUUAGAGAUAUGCAAAGAUAUAUAUAGAGAUAUUAGAAGGGCUUUGUGUAUACGAAGAAUUUACGAAGCAAGUAAAUUGCAUGAAAGGAUGCAAGUAGCGUGCAUGUUGGAAUUGAAAAAAGCUAAUUAAGUCAGUAAUUGCACCUAUAUCUAGCUCGUAGUUGAAACUAAAACGUCUCUCUUAAGAUGUGUAUUUGAAUAUUUUAUUGGUUCCAAUUGGCUGAAUUCUUUUGUGGUGAAGUUUGGAAUUUUGACUAAAGGCGUAACUUGAU
rnacentral:lncRNA from 1 species